UUAGGCCCUUCGCGUGGCAGCAUCUUGUGAACUCCCCCAGGACCGGAAGGUAGCAAGGGUAAGCAAGCUCUACUGGGUGCGCGGAGGGCCCUUAUC
rnacentral:SRP_RNA from 1 species